rnacentral:snRNA from 1 species
GUGCUCGCUUCAGCAGCACAUAGACUAAAAUUGAAAUGAUACAGAGAAGAUUAUCAUGGCCCCUGUGUAAUGAUAACACGCAAAUUUGUGAAGCGUUCCAUAUUUAA